rnacentral:rRNA from 1 species
GAUGAACGCUGGCGGCGUGCCUAAUACAUGCAAGUCGAGCGAACAGAUAAGGAGCUUGCUCCUUUGACGUUAGCGGCGGACGGGUGAGUAACACGUGGGUAACCUACCUAUAAGACUGGGAUAACUUCGGGAAACCGGAGCUAAUACCGGAUAACAUUUGGAACCGCAUGGUUCUAAAGUGAAAGAUGGUUUUGCUAUCACUUAUAGAUGGACCCGCGCCGUAUUAGCUAGUUGGUAAGGUAACGGCUUACCAAGGCAACGAUACGUAGCCGACCUGAGAGGGUGAUCGGCCACACUGGAACUGAGACACGGUCCAGACUCCUACGGGAGGCAGCAGUAGGGAAUCUUCCGCAAUGGGCGAAAGCCUGACGGAGCAACGCCGCGUGAGUGAUGAAGGGUUUCGGCUCGUAAAACUCUGUUAUUAGGGAAGAACAAACGUGUAAGUAACUGUGCACGGCUUGACGGUACCUAAUCAGAAAGCCACGGCUAACUACGUG